AUGAAUGAGGAAGUCGUACAGUGGCGUUUCACGGGUUUUUAUGGUCAUCCGAACUGGUGCGAUCACAAUUUAUCUUGGGAGGAUAUUCGUAAUUUGUAUCAUAAGGGUAAUCAUCCAUGGGUGAUUCUAGGAGAUUUUAAUGAGAUUUUAUAUUCCUCGGAGAAAGAGGGGGGCACUGCAAGACCGAAUGGAAUGAUGAAGGAUUUUCGUGACUGUCUAGCAAAAUGUGGCUUGGAUGAUAUGGGGUUCAUAGGCGACCCCUUUACAUGGAGGAGAGGUGAGAUUAGGGAACGUCUUGACCGUGCAGUAUGUAAUGUACAAGUGCAUAAAUUUCCUUGGGCGGCUGUGAUUAAUGAAAACCAUGUACAUUCUGACCACCGGCCAUUAGUUUUGGAUAUGGAUUAUUUUGACGGUAAUUUGUUUAGGUUGCUGAAUAGGGGUAUUAAAAAAUUUGAAGCCAGAUGGCUUAAAGAAGAAACUGUUAGUGAAAUUGUCAAGACAUCGUGGGAGAAGGCAAAGCUGGCUGGUAUUGGCCCGACGCUCGCAGACAGGACCCGAGCGGUACACGCCGAUCUACAUUCCUGGGACCGUGAGAUCUUGAAGGGACCAAAACGGAGAAUCAAUAAAUUAAAAAAGGGUUAG
rnacentral:rRNA from 1 species